CUUCCCCUGCCAGCCACUUCCAGGAUUUUUCAUUACAGACAGGGACCUCCCACCCUACCCACUAGGGCAGGGACCCCCCCUCUCUGUGGGAACAAGUACCCCCCCACCCAUCCCCGCCAAUGGCAGGAAGUCUCCCGUCCAUUAUGGACAGGAAGCCCUCCACACUCAUCACCUCCAGGGGCCGGGACCCUCACAUCACUCAGGGACCUCUCUGCCCCCUCACCCUCAGCACAGUUGGGAAUUCCCCUGCCCAUAUGUUUGGGGCGGAGAUCACUCCCAUGAUAGGCAGGGACCCCCUCCCAUCUCCCUAGGUGGAGGGACACCCUAUUCCCAUCACAGUUGGGAUCACCAUCCCCAUCAUGGGUAGGGAUGUCCCACACAUUCUUAGGGGCAUCCCUCACAGGGAGGGAGUUAUUCCCUCCAGGGGCCAGGAUACCCCUCCAUCAUAGUCCAGUAUCCAUCCUACAAGGGUCAGGAGCAGCAUCCCCCUUCCCAAUUUGAGCAGCAGCCUUAUCCCCACCAGGGGAAGGAACCCACAGAGUCCUACCACCAGAGCCAGGAGCAACUCCCCAGGGAUCACAAUCCUAACAUUUCAGCCUGUGGAUUGAAGAGUUCUAAAAUGCAGUCCAGAGCUGCCUUCUACCUGUAACAAUGUGAAGACAAAAUCAGUCAACUCCAGGUUUUGAUUGUUGGCUAAUGCAAGCAGUGAGCUUUUAAUCUAACAACAUAGAUUGGAGCAUCAGUAGAUUAUUAGUGCUCUGUGUGUUAUUGUUAAUUUAAAAACCUGAUAUGAUUGAGGCCAAGUUUACGAAUAUUGCUAUAUACACUAAUGCAUUUUUCAAGCUCUGAGUCUUGCCCUAGUUUAUCAGAAACAAAAGCAUAGUCCCUGAUCAGACCUUAAAGGUGGAUAAACAUGGACCAGUACCACCUCACUGAUGAAAACUUCAUCCAAUCAGAGAUGCAUAUUCCUGGAUUUUCAGAGAGUCAAGGGCUGAACUGUAGUGACACUCUCAACCUUAAACUGUGUCCAGAGACAGGAGACAUAAUGUAUACUGGUCUGAGCAGCCUAGAUAUAGAUCCUAACCUUUCAGCUGCAGAUAUGGCUAAUGACACUUUGGAGGACAAUUUAGAUGCACUGUCUUUGUAUUCUGUGAAGGAUUGUGAUUUUGUUAAACUCUUUGAUGAGUCUGACUUUGGCCCACAGCCUUCUUUGUGUGAAUUGGGGCUUCCAGUCCCAACAGCACCUAAAGAAGUUGAACAAGAAGGCAAGUCCCGUUCUGGUAGUACCAGGAAAGGGAAGCAUCAGCACAGCUCUUCUCAAAACCCUGUCCUGGAUUGCAGUCUCUGUGGGAAGGUGUUUAGCAGUGCCAGCUCUCUUAGCAAACAUAACCUGACUCACAGCCAGGAACGGAAAUACAUCUGUAAAAUCUGCAGCAAGGCUUUUAAACGGCAGGACCACCUGAGUGGACACAUGCUAACACACCAGAAAACAAAGCCAUUUAUGUGUGUAGAACAGGGUUGCAAUAAGAGUUACUGUGACCAUCGUUCAUUGCUUCGACAUUAUGAAAUGCAACAUGGCUUGUCUAUAUUGAAGGAGGCCACCUGUGAUGAAGAUGCCUGUAAAGUCUCAUCACCUUCUCAUGAUGCAGUUGUCCAAAAUGGACAAGAUGGCAUGAGAAUGGAGAAGCUGGCUGUACACUCCGAAUCCAAAUAUCCAAAUCCUGGCCUGCCCAAUAGAGACCUUCUGAAAUGCAUUGUCAGCGUUGUAAAUCAAAAGCUUCCAUCAACUCCAGCAUCUUCUACAGGGCAGUCGGAGGCUGACUUGAAAGGUUCCCUGCAGUCCUGCUCCUCUGCCUCUGAUCAGGUUUCUUGCAUCCCAUCUAGCACGACUGCACUGUUUGAAGUGACAGGUGAGAACAUGUUGAAGGAGCAUUAUCCUAGCCAAAAGAAUGCCACCUCUUCCAAUGUGUAUGCCAUAAUAAAUCCUGGUAAUUUAUCUGUGAUCGCACCAGGAGAAAACAUACUUACCAGUUUGACUGAUACAUCGCUGCUUUCAGAAUCACAGUUUCCUUUAGAGACUACAGGGCUGGAUUAUUGGCCAAACAGCACUUUACCUUGUUUUCCAUUAUUUAGGGGUCAGAAGAUUUCUGCAAACUCCUCCCAUCAGUCAGGCAGUAAUUUUCAGUGGAUCAGAAACAUGCCAGUUUGUACUAAAAGCAAAGGGAACAGUGUUUAUAUUACUGAUAAUCCAUCUGUUACAGCUCAGAAUAUUUCAGGUGGGUUUUCUGGACCUUCGCAAGUGUUCGACUCAUUUUCACAGAUGUAUGAGUGUCCAGAGGCUGUGUCAUUUGCACUUGUGAAGACCCAAGGAGAAAUCUCAAGUGAAACAAAGCUCAGCAGUUUUGAGGAAACCUUUAGGCCAGCAAAAAGACAGGAAUGUGACAUUGAUUCCUGUCACUGGCCAAAUGUUCAGAAGCAUAGUAUGUUACAGAAUGACACUAACCCACACUUCAGGCAGCUUUUCAUGGAAUCCUCAGUGAACCAAGAGCAUAUGCAAGUGCAGCAGCACCUACUCCAAAUGUUCACCAAAACUCAGCACAUUUUGUCCCACACUCAGGUGGUGGCUCCAUCACAGCAAGCAACUUCUGAGGUGAAACAGACUGUAGAAAAACCACUCCAAAGUAUUCUGCAACAGCAGCAGCAGAUUGAUGUGAUUCAUUCUCUUCUAGAGCGCACAGAGCAUGAAGGGUCGCCUUUGUUUAUGCAAAAGACUUUGACCCAGUAUCAGAAGGAUGUGGCAUCUGUUAGUGAGGAACAAGGCCAUAAAGGAAGGCAGCAAGCAGCAUUUACUUUGCAACCUUUUCACUCCCCAUCAGACCCUGUUGUAAAUUCAGACACUGUUUACUCUGCCAAGCAGACUAGACCCUUAAAAGGGUGUGUGGGGUUCAAAGAUAUUGCCAACUCCAGCCAACCUCAGCCUACAGUAUGUGAUAAAGCAAUGGGAAACUCUACUUAUCGGAAAUCACGUCAGCGGGAAAAUAACACUUCUGUAUAUAGCAACAAAGAGAAGAAUGAAGAAUUUUGCAAAGGAACAGGUGGCAAACUGCAUUUCAGUACUGGUAGACCUCGCCGCUUGCCCAGUGUCCGCAAAGAGAAGCUAAAGUUUGACCUGUCUUGUUCAGCUUCUCCAAGUCAAGUAGCCAUGGCUUCCUUUUCUUUACCUGGCACUUCAUCCAGUCAUGUGCCUGAAAAAACCCACAAACUCACCAUUUUCAAUAGGAUUCAGGGUGGAAAUAUCUACAGCCUUAAUAACGCAGUGAGGGAAGAAAACUUGUCAGCUGGAUCAGCUGGAUGUAAUAACACCAGUGGUGUCCCUGCAGAUGGUAACAGAUAUGCAAGUGGUUUCGUUUGUAAGACCUGCGGUCAGCUGUUCUAUACUGAAAAAGGUUUGAACAGCCAUAUGUGUUUCCAAAGUGAACAAUGGCAUUCGCCACCUGGGAAGACAGAACAGCAGGUGUACAAUGCAGAAAACUUAAACCCUCAGAAAUUGUCACUCAAGUCUCUAGGAGAUGGAAACACUUCAUCAGAAAUUAAGAAAACUUUAGAAGAUGUACCAGUGGCACCUCUAGUCAUCCCAGUCUCUGUACCUGUGACAGCUGUGAACCAACAGACCAGGAACAAAGUUAAUGAAAAGGAGAGCCAUGAUGAGAAGGACCUCAGGAAAAGCUUGCCCCAAAAAAAGAGGAAGAGGCAAACUCGUCCCAAAUCUCUCUUUAUUCCACCUCUUCCGGCCUUGUGUGCUGAGAUGCAGCCAGCCAUGGGAGGAUGCCAUGAGAGUAAUCUUCGAUCACCAGUCUACAUAGUUGACCACCUCCUGAGAGACUUAUUCCAAAGCUCUCCAUAUACCCCGCCUCCUAUGCUCAGCCCGAUACGGGAGGGAUCAGGGCUUUAUUUCAGCACCCUCUGUUCUUCCUCUACUAGUUCUGGUCACAACAAGCUGUACAGUACCAUUCUAGGCAGAAUGGAUGGAGACUUUGGAUUCUCUCUUGUGAAAGAUAACACCAAAAUCAGCAUAAAGCCACAUAUUAACAUUGGAAACCGGUUUCAGGCAGAGAUACCAAACCUCCAGGAUAGAGCACUUUUAGAAAAUGAUGAACAUGCAGCAUCGUUAGUGUGGAAACCUUGGGGAGACAUCACAACCAACCAGGAAACACAGGACAGAGUAACAGGACUAUUAAACGUGGCCUGCUCCAGUGCGAUGCCCGGGGGAGGGACCAAUCUAGAACUAGCCCUGCAUUGUCUGCAUGAAGCACAAGGCAAUAUUCUGGAGGCCCUAGAGAUGCUGCUGUUCAGAGGACCUCAGAAAGUUCCAUCCCACCCUCUUGCUAAUUAUCAUUAUACAGGUUCAGAUGUUUGGACACCUGUUGAGAAACAGUUGUUUAAAAAAGCUUUUUGUCUGCAUAAAAAAGAUUUUUACCUGAUACAGAAGAAGAUUCAGACUAAGAGUGUGUCACAGUGUGUUGAAUAUUACUAUAUCUGGAAAAAAAUAAUAAAAUUCGACUUCAGUCGACCAAAAAGUGUGUGCAGCCCAAAGAAAAUGCAUGGCUAUCUGCCUAGACAAGGUAUGAAGAUAAAGUCAAAGAAUUACAAAAAAGCAUCACACAAGACAUAUAGUCCAGCAUGCAGUCAGAGGGGAACGCCGGACCAGCCUGGGACCACAGACUAUCAGGGUUCAUUUCCAUGUAAAGAGUGCGAAAGGGUGUUCGACAAGAUAAAAAGUCGGAAUGCUCACAUGAAAUGCCACCGCGUGCAGGAGCAGAUGGAGCCACUAAUAAAUAUUAAGUGGCCCAUAAAACAUUAAAAAAUGAGCCAAAGAUGAAAGAAACAAACUCAGACAUUGACCUUCUCCAAUGGUAACCGGGAAACCGCGAUUUCAGGGUAUCAGUGGUAGAAAUCUUAUCAGAACUUGGAAAACAUGCAAAUGGUUUUUAGCAUCUGAUCAGCUCUGAGCAGGGUUAGCUGACAUGACAGUACACUCAGCCCACACUUCAGCUUGUACCAUUGUGGGCACUGCAGAAAACAUGCACCAUUUUUCCUAGUGCAGAAGCCCCGGAUGAGACUGAAAAGAAACCUCUACUUGAAGCAUUGGAAGACACUCAGAUACUACAGUGAUGAGAAUGGCAGAAGAUCCAGCAAUGAAACUAAAGGUCUGUUUGAUUUGUUAUAAAUCUUAUCAGCGGUCUGCAAGUCCCACUGUCAAUAUCUCAGAAUAUUGUGAAGCACCAUAGUGGGUCAUGAAGUAUUGCACCAGUUUCCCCUCUCACAUUGUUUGCACAAGCACUAGAAUAAUGCAGAACUGUGAAGUGGCAUUGUUGUUGGAUUUCUUUAGCUUGGAUGGCAAGUAAAACAGAACUAGGGUUCCCCCCCCCCACCGUUGGGUAAGAACCAGAAAACAGAUUGUGUUGCUGGGUUGGAGGUUGUUUUACGAGGCUAGAUGAUGAAAUCCUUCCUCCUACUAGUCAAAAUGCUCUUCUGUAGCCAUUUACUGAAGCAGCAAUGUUCAGGUCAAAGGCUUGAGAAACUUACUCACCAAUGGCAAGUAGGACAGUUUUUCUGGAAAUUUGCCAAUUAUCUUCUGCAGAAUUUGAGGGGUUUUUUUUUUUAAAGUUUAAAGAAGCUAGAGAGCUUUCUAGCUUCGUGGCUACAAUGGGAAACCUUAAAGUACGACCAGCUGUCUUCUGAAAAUACAAACACAAAGCCUCGAGCAGUGCAUCAGCAUAACCUGCCUCCCGCUAGCUCAGUGUACUCUUCACUUUGAAGCCUGUCACGCCCCCAAGCCUUGUCUAUACACAGAAGAUUCACUGGUUUCACUUAAAAAAAAAAGUUA